AUUCUAUCUUUUGAGAGAAUAGUGCUAAAAAAUAGGGUCAGCCGGAAGUAACUCUGAACAGGAUAGACUGACUGAAACAUUAACAUGGAAGAUUUUUCUCUGCAUCUUCAACUCAGCAAUGCUUUGCAAAAAAAAGACUCAGGCAUAAUUUCACAGAAGUAUGAAAAAGUGCUUUCCCUUAUAUUGAUGCUUACUUUUAAGCCUUUUACUCUUAUCCUUCCAACCAACUUUGGAAAAGCCAACAUAGUAUGUUUAACAGCUAAUUAGGGGCCUUGACCUGAAAUAUGAGAACAGAAGAAGGAGUUUUGGGUCGAGAGGAAGGUGAUUAGAAGGAACUGAAAGACAUGAUAAUUUAAAAAGGGAAACAAGAAGCAUUCCCUCCAGCUUCAUUAAUUACAUGGGAGGAUAGGGAAAAAUGACUCAGAUCUUUGCUAUUUAUAAAUCCGUAAAUCACUCUAUCUGGAUCCUAAAACUGUGCUAGCAAC